UACUUGUAUAGUUAAAAAAAAAAUAAGGAGAUGUGGUCUCUUAGAUAUGGGAAGUUACAAGUAA
rnacentral:tRNA from 1 species